GGACCCUUAGCUCAAUCGGUAGAGCUUUGUACUUAUGAGGUUAACUCCCGUCAUGCAAGGGUCCCGAGUUCGAUUCUCGGAGGGUCCA